GUUGGUGCAAAAGUAAUUGCGGUUUUUGCCAUUGAAAAUAAUAGCAAAAACCGCAAUUACUUUUG
ensembl:miRNA